GCUAUAAUGCAGUCGACGAACUCUGGUAUUGAUUGGUGCUUGCAUCAUGAUUUACAUUUGAGUGAGUGGCGAACUGGUGAGUAACACGUGGGAAACCUGCCCAGAAGCGGGGGAUAACACCUGGAAACAGAUGCUAAUACCGCAUAACAACUUGGACCGCAUGGUCCGAGUUUGAAAGAUGGCUUCGGCUAUCACUUUUGGAUGGUCCCGCGGCGUAUUAGCUAGAUGGUGGGGUAACGGCUCACCAUGGCAAUGAUACGUAGCCGACCUGAGAGGGUAAUCGGCCACAUUGGGACUGAGACACGGCCCAAACUCCUACGGGAGGCAGCAGUAGGGAAUCUUCCACAAUGGACGAAAGUCUGAUGGAGCAACGCCGCGUGAGUGAAGAAGGGUUUCGGCUCGUAAAACUCUGUUGUUAAAGAAGAACAUAUCUGAGAGUAACUGUUCAGGUAUUGACGGUAUUUAACCAGAAAGCCACGGCUAACUACGUGCCAGCAGCCGCGGUAAUACGUAGGUGGCAAGCGUUGUCCGGAUUUAUUGGGCGUAAAGCGAGCGCAGGCGGUUUUUUAAGUCUGAUGUGAAAGCCUUCGGCUCAACCGAAGAAGUGCAUCGGAAACUGGGAAACUUGAGUGCAGAAGAGGACAGUGGAACUCCAUGUGUAGCGGUGAAAUGCGUAGAUAUAUGGAAGAACACCAGUGGCGAAGGCGGCUGUCUGGUCUGUAACUGACGCUGAGGCUCGAAAGUAUGGGUAGCAAACAGGAUUAGAUACCCUGGUAGUCCAUACCGUAAACGAUGAAUGCUAAGUGUUGGAGGGUUUCCGCCCUUCAGUGCUGCAGCUAACGCAUUAAGCAUUCCGCCUGGGGAGUACGGCCGCAAGGCUGAAACUCAAAGGAAUUGACGGGGGCCCGCACAAGCGGUGGAGCAUGUGGUUUAAUUCGAAGCUACGCGAAGAACCUUACCAGGUCUUGACAUACUAUGCAAAUCUAAGAGAUUAGACGUUCCCUUCGGGGACAUGGAUACAGGUGGUGCAUGGUUGUCGUCAGCUCGUGUCGUGAGAUGUUGGGUUAAGUCCCGCAACGAGCGCAACCCUUAUUAUCAGUUGCCAGCAUUAAGUUGGGCACUCUGGUGAGACUGCCGGUGACAAACCGGAGGAAGGUGGGGAUGACGUCAAAUCAUCAUGCCCCUUAUGACCUGGGCUACACACGUGCUACAAUGGAUGGUACAACGAGUUGCGAACUCGCGAGAGUAAGCUAAUCUCUUAAAGCCAUUCUCAGUUCGGAUUGUAGGCUGCAACUCGCCUACAUGAAGUCGGAAUCGCUAGUAAUCGCGGAUCAGCAUGCCGCGGUGAAUACGUUCCCGGGCCUUGUACACACCGCCCGUCACACCAUGAGAGUUUGUAACACCCAAAGUCGGUGGGGUAACCUUUUAGGAACCAGCCGCCUAAGGUGGGACAGAUGAUUAGGGUGAAGUCG
rnacentral:rRNA from 1 species